CACGUAGUUAGCCGGUGCUUAUUCUUCAGGUACCGUCAUUAGCGAGGGAUAUUAGCCCUCACCGUUUCUUCCCUGACAAAAGAGCUUUACAACCCGAAGGCCUUCUUCACUCACGCGGCAUUGCUGGAUCAGGCUUUCGCCCAUUGUCCAAAAUUCCCCACUGCUGCCUCCCGUAGGAGUCUGGACCGUGUCUCAGUUCCAGUGUGGCUGGUCGUCCUCUCAGACCAGCUACUGAUCGUGGCCUUGGUGAGCCUUUACCUCACCAACUAGCUAAUCAGAUAUCGGCCGCUCCAGGAGCACAAGGUCCGAAGAUCCCCUGCUUUCAUCCUUAGAUCGUAUGCGGUAUUAGCGUAACUUUCGCUACGUUAUCCCCCACUCUUGGGUACGUUCCGAUAUAUUACUCACCCGUUCGCCACUCGCCGCCAGGUUGCCCCGCGCUGCCGUUCGACUUGCAUGUGUAAAGCAUGCCGCCAGCGUUCAAUCUGAGCCAGGAUCAAA
rnacentral:rRNA from 1 species